rnacentral:rRNA from 1 species
CCUACGGUGCGCAGCAGUGAGGAAUAUUGGUCAAUGGGCGGGAGCCUGAACCAGCCAAGUCGCGUGAGGGACGACGGUCCUAUGGAUUGUAAACCUCUUUUGUCGGGGAACAAAGGCGCCCACGGGUGGGCGGAUGAGUGUACCCGAAGAAAAAGCAUCGGCUAACUCCGUGCCAGCAGCCGCGGUAAUACGGAGGAUGCGAGCGUUAUCCGGAUUUAUUGGGUUUAAAGGGAGCGUAGAUGGGUUGUUAAGUCAGUUGUGAAAGUUUGCGGCUAAACCGUAAAAUUGCAAUUGAUACUGGCAGUCUUAGUACAGUUGAGGUAGGCGGAAUUCGUGGUGUAGCGGUGAAAUGCUUAGAUAUCACGAAGAACUCCGAUUGCGAAGGCAGCUUACUAAACUGCCACUGACAUUGAUGCUCGAAAGUGUGGGUAUCAAACAGGAUUAGAUACCCGGGUAGUC